ACCUAGAGUCGACUCCUGUAUACAAGAGAACUUCAGCAUUGCAGUCGUUUUACUGAAAGCUGAUUGUGCAAUCCUGAAGUUUUUUUGAGAUGGCUACAAACACGACCUCUGUCUCUCUGUUUGUACCCACAAAUCAAUAUCUGAUAGUGAAUGAUCACCAUCACUGUAACAAACCUAAACUUAUAUCAAGUAUCAACCAUCUGAUUUGCACUGCGGUUGUUUACUAAAUUAAUUUCCUUUUCUUGUAAUGGAAACUCUGAGAGGAUAUAUCAGAAACAUCUGUGGAGGGGUAAGAAUGCCAGGAAACAGAGAUCAAUGCCAAGAAAAGUGCUCUCCCUCUGAACACACUCAUAAAAAAGUGUGAUUGGUUGGCUGGAAAGCAAGAAUGCAGACGCCAAAGCUACAGGGUUUAAAGCCCGACCCCAAACAAGCUUCAUACAUUUCUGCUAUAAUCUCUAAGUGUAACACAAAGACAGCAGUGGAAAAACAAGUUUUUGCAAAACUGCAGUUGAUUAUUCUAAACAGCCAUAUCGGAUAUUUCCCGUCUGUUCUACUAUCAACUGAUCAGCGACAUUGCACCAGUGUGAAGAUAUGCGAACAUUCAUUUCAUCUUUUGUAGUAGUUCUGAGAGGCAGAUGAGAUGGAAUGGAUGCAGCUUUUCUCAAAGCGGUCAGAAGAAGUGCUGACGCACUCUACAGUCAUUGGCAGACCGUCCUCUUUUUCUUCACAGUCUUCAUGCUGAUGAAGGGAGCUAACAUUUUUCAGAUGGACUCAUUGAGACCAGUGGUCUGCGAUACAUACAAACCUGGCUGGGUAGAGUCUUGCGAAAACGUUGGGUUUCCAGUGUUUCCUAUGCAGCUCUGGUGCGCUCAGAUUAUUUUUGCUCUGCUGUACCUCGUUUACAUGAUGCAUGUUAUCUAUGGAGAAGGAACGCCUCCUAAAAUAACUGAAGGAAAGGCCAGUGGGAAUGUGAGAACAAAAUUGUGAACAAAAAUAAGUUUUAAAAUCUUUCAGGUUUCUAAGACUUUUAAACAGUACUGUACAUAUUUUUUCAAUCUGACCUGAAAGAGUCCCCUCAUCAAACAAUGCUACCAAGCAGGGAGAGUGAAGCCACAUCUAUUAUGAACUGUCAAUAGCAAAACAUCAUUGAACAGCUCAUCAUGCUUGGAGGAGAGCACUAUCUGCCAGUUCUGUGACACCAGCUAACAGACACCUGUGCUGGCUAACAUCAUGCUCAGAGAUGCAGCAGAGCGAGGCCAAUUCUGUUCACUUGGGCUCCCAAACACAGAUGGCUGUGUCAUCACAGGAGGUUGACCUUGUGAUCAUGAAAGGGCCAAAACUUGUGCACAAUCCUCAGAAGCUACCACUACUAAUAUUUGUGAUGAGCUUUCCUGCUUUCCAGCUCACCAGCUGCUCUAUGUUCUGGAUGCUUACAUUAAUCUUUUGCAACAUAUUUAUUUCUCUAAGUCAAAGCACAAGCACCCACAGUUCAAGACCUUCUACAGGUUCUCAUUUACUCCUCAAAACACAAUCACAGUUGACCAAUCAACUUUCCACUUAAAGUUCUUUUGUAGCAACUGUUGCAAAGUGGGACAGAAUGCUGACAAAACCUCUUCCUACCUUGAGAAUUUCUGCUAAAUGUUGGAACAAAACCUUGUAUCUCUUUCGGUAUGAUUUAAUUGUAAAAAUGUUUAAGUGUAAAAAUUACAGGACAAAUGUCAGGAUGAUAGAAAAGUCCAAAUUUACUUAGAAAACUAUAUUUGACCAACCUCAAUUCAACAUUUAGAACUUUUUCCAUCUCAUUUAAAGUUAUUGGAUUCAUUUUGGAGACAUAUGGUUCUCUACCAACAGCAAGAUCAUUUUUCUGUUUUUUUUGUUGUUGUUGUUUUUUUUUGUCAAUUUUAAUUUUUAAAAUAAUAUAUCACUGUGUGAUAAAACAUCUUAUUUUCCUGUGCUUGUCACAUUACUGUCUUUGUUGGUAACACUUGUUUGGUUAUUAAUUAGUAAAUGCCUUAAUUACUAACAGGUCAUGUGCCCUUAAUGUAAAAUGUUACUUCUUUGUUUAUAUUUACAACCUUGAAAAAAAAAGUAUUUAACAAUGAAAAAAAAACUUUCAUUUAUUUGUGUAUAAUUGUAACAUGAUGUGAAUAAAGAACUUAUCUUAAUGACAAA